rnacentral:lncRNA from 1 species
ACGGUACCCACUGGAUAUGCCCGAGGCCUCCAGAGGAAAGGAAAGGAGGAAAAGGGACAGAAGAAAUGUUCACAGGAACUGCAUAUGGGCCUGCUACUUGUGUCAAAAUGUGACUGAACUCUCUUCCAGCAGGUGUGGGGAAAAGAGUGACUUCACCUUAAAUGUUAACCUGCCAUGUAACUUCUGACUAAUCCCAGGUCCAGAAAUGCCUCCAAAUGUCUCGUUGCUGUAUUACUCUUUAUGUGGAAACACCUGUUCACUUGUGAAUCCCUGGAAGGCAAGAUCGCCAUUCUGGUCUCUUGUGGAUAUCAAUGCUGAUCUCAGCUUCUGAUGCACGGCAGUCAAUUAAUAAAUGAUUGUUGCCUGAAAAACUGAGCCCCAAAACAAUAUUACAAGUUUAAUAUCAGUAAAGGAUUUAAUGCUUUCUAACAUGAAGAUACCAGAUCUUUUCUAUUCCUGGACUUUUAGAGUUGCUGAUUUUUGUAUAACCCAGAGAUGGAUUUAAAUGCAGAGUGUAUGAACUUCUUCAUUCCUGAGGGAGGACUUAUGAUUUCAUGAGAAAUGCCCUAGGAAAGGGGCCGGGGAGACUGAUGGAGAAGAAGAGUUUGGGAGGGAAGCCCCAAGGACCAUCUGCCCCAUCAGAGUCACAUGCAGAGGGUCCUGCUCCUGCCGUUGGAAGUUGGCUUCCUGAGCUGCUGAACGUGCCAGUCCUGCUGACCCACUCUCAGAUAUCACAGGCACCCGCUGUGUCUGACAGAGACCUUUCUGCAAGUACACGUGCAGGUCUGCUCUGCAAAGGCGUUAUCAUCUGCAGAUUAUUGCACAGAGUGGCUACGAGCUGUGGUGUGAUCCUGUCACAGAGAGAGCCUGGUCACGUUUUCAGAACAGCAGGAAACAGGUACACCUGUAAGCUUAUACUUAUCAGAUUUAAAAAUAAAACAAAAAAUCCAUGCUAUUCCAUGAAAAUCGGACUCAAAUAAACUUAGUCACUGAUCUGUGAAGUAAAUAAUCUGAUGGUAAUGCAUCAGUUGACACUUGGGCCUGGGUUUUUAGGCACUAAUGAAAGCCAGGGGCAAAAUAAUUUUUAAUCUACCAUUAUUUCCCUUGAUGGUUCGACAAAAGUUCUUGUACUAGAAAGUUUUAUAAAACUACUUUCUGAGUGUCCUGUGACAUUUCUCUGAUGAUAUAAAAAGUCAAUAUUUGAUAGCUUAAAUAUCAAUAUUGACAGAAAUAUGAUUAUUUAAAUAAAAACACAAAUAGUAAAAUAA